CCUACGGGUGGCAGCAGUAGGGAAUAUUGCUCAAUGGGGGAAACCCUGAAGCAGCAACGCCGCGUGGAGGAUGAAGGUUUUCGGAUUGUAAACUCCUUUUGUUAGAGAAGAUAAUGACGGUAUCUAACGAAUAAGCACCGUCUAACUCCGUGCCAGCAGCCGCGGUAAUACGGAGGGUGCAAGCGUUACUCGGAAUCACUGGGCGUAAAGAGCGCGUAGGCGGGAUAGCAAGUCAGAUGUGAAAUGCUAUGGCUUAACCAUAGAACUGCAUUUGAAACUGUUAUUCUAGAGUAUGGGAGAGGUAGGUGGAAUUCUUGGUGUAGGGGUAAAAUGCGUAGAGAUCAAGAGGAAUACUCAUUGCGAAGGCGACCUGCUAGAACAUAACUGACGCUGAUGCGCGAAAGCGUGGGGAGCAAACAGGAUUAGAUACCCCAGUAGUC
rnacentral:rRNA from 1 species